rnacentral:hammerhead_ribozyme from 1 species
AUCAAGCUGACGAGCUCCAAACAGGACGAAACGCGAGUCCUGGAU